CACUGCCGAGAAAAGCCUCUAGAUAGAAAAUAGGUGCCCGUACCGCAAACCGACACAGGUAGUCAAGAUGAGAAUUCUAAGGUGAGCGAGCGAACUCUCGUUAAGGAACUCGGCAAAAUGACCCCGUAACUUCGGGAGAAGGGGUGCUCUUUAGGGUUAACGCCCAGAAGAGCCGCAGUGAAUAGGCCCAAGCGACUGUUUAUCAAAAACACAGGUCUCUGCUAAACCGUAAGGUGAUGUAUAGGGGCUGACGCCUGCCCGGUGCUGGAAGGUUAAGAGGAGUGGUUAGCUUCUGCGAAGCUACGAAUCGAAGCCCCAGUAAACGGCGGCCGUAACUAUAACGGUCCUAAGGUAGCGAAAUUCCUUGUCGGGUAAGUUCCGACCCGCACGAAAGGCGUAACGAUUUGGGCACUGUCUCAACGAGAGACUCGGUGAAAUCAUAGUACCUGUGAAGAUGCAGGUUACCCGCGACAGGACGGAAAGA
rnacentral:rRNA from 1 species